UAACGCGUGGAUAACCUGCCUCACACAGGGGGAUAACAGUUAGAAGUGACUGCUAAUACCGCAUAAGCGCACGGCAUCGCAUGAUGCAGUGUGAAAAACUCCGGUGGUGUGAGAUGGAUCCGCGUCUGAUUAGGUAGUUGGUGGGGUAACGGCCCACCAAGCCGACGAUCAGUAGCCGACCUGAGAGGGUGACCGGCCACAUUGGGACUGAGACACGGCCCAA
rnacentral:rRNA from 1 species